rnacentral:rRNA from 1 species
ACUGAACGCUGGCGGAAUGCCUAACACAUGCAAGUCGAGCGGGGUGUAGCAAUACACCUAGCGGCGGACGGGUGAGGAAUACAUAGGAAUCUACCUUUAAGUGGGGGAGUAGCCCGGGGAAACCCGGACUUAAUACCGCAUGAUCUCGCAAGAGCAAAGCGGGGGACCGGUAAGGCCUCGCGCUGAAAGAUGAGCCUAUGUCGGAUUAGCUAGUUGGCGGGGUAAAGGCCCACCAAGGCGACGAUCCGUAGCUGGUCUGAGAGGACGAUCAGCCACACGGAACUGAGACACGGUCCGGACUCCUACGGGAGGCAGCAGUGGGGAAGUAUUGGACAAUGGGCGGCAAGCCUGAUCCAGCAAUUCCGCGUGUGUG